rnacentral:rRNA from 1 species
UACGGAGGGGACUAGCGUUGCUCGGAAUUAUUGGGCGUAAAGCGCACGUAGGCGGUUACUUAAGUCGGAUGUGAAAGCCCUUGGCUCAACCGAGGAAGUGCACCCGAAACUGAGUAGCUUGAGUACGAAAGAGGGUCGCGGAAUUCCCGGUGUAGAGGUGAAAUUCGUAGAUAUCGGGAGGAACACCGGUGGCGAAGGCGGCGACCUGGGUCGAUACUGACGCUGAGGUGCGAAAGCGUGGGGAGCAAACAGG